rnacentral:rRNA from 1 species
UACGGGGGGGGCAAGCGUUGUUCGGAAUUACUGGGCGUAAAGGGUUCGUAGGUGGCUUGCUAAGUCAGACGUGAAAUCCCUCAGCUUAACUGGGGAACUGCGUCUGAUACUGGCGAGCUUGAGUGCAGGAGAGGAACGCGGAAUUCCAGGUGUAGCGGUGAAAUGCGUAGAUAUGACAUAGAACACCCAUUGCGAAGGCAGCUCACUACGGGAAUAUUGACACUGAGGCACGAAAGCGUGGGGAUCAAACAGG